UGGGGAAUCUUGCACAAUGGGGGCAACCCUGAUGCAGCGACGCCGCGUGAGCGAUGAAGGUUUUCGAAUCGUAAAGCUCUGUCCUAUGGGAAGAUAAUGACGGUACCAUAGGAGGAAGCCCCGGCUAACUACGUGCCAGCAGCCGCGGUAAUACGUAGGGGGCGAGCGUUGUCCGGAAUUACUGGGCGUAAAGGGUUCGCAGGCGGCAUGGCAAGUCCGAUGUAAAAGGCGAAGGCUCAACCUUCGUAAGCAUCGGAAACUGUCAAGCUUGAGUGAAGGAGAGGCAAGUGGAAUUCCUAGUGUAGCGGUGGAAUGCGUAGAUAUUAGGAGGAAUACCGGUGGAGAAGGCGACUUGCUGGACUUCAACUGACGCUGAGGAACGAAAGCGUGGGUAGCAAACAGG
rnacentral:rRNA from 1 species